CUGAGCUAUCACUGAUCCCCGGCACAAUCCCCCGGGGACGGCUACCAGAAAUCCCUGAGCGAGCUGACCAGAGUUCAGGGCACAGCGUGGACCUGUGGCCAUGAGGCUGCUCCAAGCUUGUGGUUUCGUUAGAGACGGGCUUUGAACCUGGCCUUGGAUCCUGUGCUCACGUCACUCCCAUCCGCGCCCCAGAGCCAGCGGCUCUUUGCCGGGAGGGACAGAGGACAGGUCAGCCCAGGGACCCUGGGGUCAGCGCAAGAAUGACAGGACUGUCUGGGAAGAUGAUGAGCUUUACGGCUCCCCCUCGCCAGCACCUGCUAGCUUCCUAAAACUGUCGCUAUAACUCACUCACCAGGGGAAUACUUAGCACAGACUAUCCAGCAGAGACACUGAGAAAUGGCCCCCCAGGGGCUGGGUGACUGCUCAUCCAAGGAGUGUCAGAGAGUGUGACAGUGCCUCGGGGGCCCCUCCUGCCAUCCCCAGCCCACCGCGGAGAGAUGCCACCAGGUGUCACACAAGGAAUGAGGUCCUGGGGAGGAGCUUACUUGGAACCCGCUCCUUUGCUACUCAGCCUGUCCCAGGACGCUCACACUGGGGGGAGGGGAGGGGGCUUUGCUGAACUCCCCCUCCCCCACACCACUCUAUAUUUGACCAAAAGCGGGGUCAGGCUUUCCCAGAAGGCGCCUUUUGUGACGAAGAGGAAAUUUUUGAGAAGUGAAAGAGAGACAGAAGCAGCCAAGGCGUGACCUGGCCUUGACUGGCUAUUGUUAAGAACUUAGAGCGCAGUACAGAUUCCACAGUAUGGUGGGAUCAUUAGAGCGCCCUGCGGCGUUCCGUAGAGCGUAGACACUACGGUAUUGUUAGCUUCGCUGUUGUGAUCAUCAGAGUAGGGCCGAUGCACUCCCCUUGGAGAGCUUUGCAUUCAGAGCUCCCCGCACACGCCCAGGAGCCCCACCGACAAGGUGACUCGUUGCUUGAGGCAGCCCAGCCUGGAAAUGAUGACGGGGAAAUGGAGGGACUCUCGGUGCACUCCUGCUUCUUGGUAGCGAAGGCGGCAGCAGAGAGGGGAGGGCUGUGUCUCUUAGAAGGAGAAGCUGGGUGGUAAGAAGGGACGCCAAGCCAGGUGGGGAAGGAGAGGGGCCACCUAAGGGAGCCUGGAUCACCGGCAGCCCUCCAUGCCGAAUCCUUGGCUUUGAAAUGCCAAGAGGUCUAUGAAGGCAGGAGCAGGCUGGUUCCUGGACCUUUGGGGUGCACACACAACGGCCAGACCUGGGCAAGUCUAGCUCAGCAGAUGGGCUGAACUAGACUGAAGGUAACCGGCAGGUGAGUUAGGGACGUCCACCCAAUGAUGAGCACCCAAAGACUUCCUCAGUGGAUGAGAACGGUUUGUUUCAAAGGCCACAAAGGGGCUGAAGCAGGCACGGUGGAGAGCUUCGAGCUUGGUCACACAUAGAAGAUGCCGUGGCCACCCCCUGCCUCCUGGCCAUCCGCAGCCACCCUGGCUUUCCUCCGACACUGGACUCCGAUGACUCUGAUGACAGCUCUGCCCCCCACCCACGUGGUUCACGAGUGUAGGAGGUGGAAUCUCCAUGGGCCAGCCAGGACGGGAAGCCCUGAGAAGUCAGGAAGCCCCCGUGGGUUUAGACUGGAAUUCGAGACUGUGCGAGGUAACCCUGAGCCGAGGUGAGCCUCAGCUGCUUCCCUUCCCCACAGUGUGAGGCGGCUGGCGGGGGAGCAUGGGGGAGAUGUUCAGAUAUUCACUACUAGGCUAUCCUUGAAGCAGUUAUCAGGAAAAGAUCAUCUGGAGGCCUCUUCAUGGAACUGAGGCCCAUAAAACUGGGUGAAUGUCCUCGCUGGGGGCUAGAAGUCAUGGCAGAGCCCAGACAUCCCCAGCCUGCCGCCUGGGCUGGGAGUGACAGGUAGCACACCCAGCCUUAAAUGCGGGGGGGUGGGGGGGUGAUAGACAUCCCAUUUGAACCUGCUGCCAAUCUUGUGAGGUCCUCACUUCAAGUCUAAUUCCCUGCUAUGAGCAAACUAGAUCAGAGAAUCCCAAAAUUCAGAGUUCAGAGAAUCCAAGAAUUAGGGAAUUGGGUCUCCAGAAGGACCAAGCUGUGGCUAAUGCUUCCAAAGCCAAAGGGAAUCCCCUAAUCCCUUCCACCUGACAGGUGGGAUCCAACUUCUGCUUGAAACCCUCUGGCAGGACGACUCCCAACACCCUGCCAGCAGCCACGAUCCCUUUGGGGCGACUUUUUUUUAAACCCUUCCCUUCCAUCUUGGACUCACUACCGAGUAUUGGUUCCAAGGCAGAAGAGUGGUAAGGGCUAGGCAAUGGGGGUCAAGUGACUUGCCCAGGGUCACACUGCUGGGAAGUGUCUGAGGGAGAUUUGAACCCAGGACCUCCCAUCUCUAGACCCAGCUUCCUCUUAAGAUGGUUUUCUUGUCUCCCCUGAAUUUUCCUCUGCAUAUAGCGUUUCAGCCAUUUGUCAUACUGUAGAAGUUACCAGUGUGACAUGAACAGACAAACGUGCUUGGAGAGCAUCACAUGAGUGCAGCUAAUCCCAUCACCCCCAGGGUGUAUGAGCAAUCUUCCAGGGUCCUCUGCAGAUGAAGGACACAGGGAGGAGGAUGUUCACAGUGCUUAUUAACCGUGGAGCCCUCCAACAUGCUUCUGUGCCUCCCUCUGGGUAUCCUUUCUCUAUUUUGUAUUUCAGUGAUGGUGUGCAUGCUGUUCCUCCCCAACACAUCUUGGGUCCCUUAGGGGCUGGGUCUAUUCCCCUGGGGGUUGGCGCCCCUAAGGACAGGGUAUGGCACAUAGUAUGUGGAAUAAAUGAUGAAAUCAGUAAGUCCUAGACACUGCAUGGCACUCAGGGUAAAAUAGAAAAGGUGGAUGUCUGCAUCCUCGGGGAUCUCACAUUUCUUCAGACUAAAACAACAUGGCCCUAGAUAAGCGACUGGGAGCCAUUCCGCCCCUCACCCCACUUAAUGGCAUUCCAGAAGCCCUGUGUAUCCCUCAAAGCGUACAAGAGGAAUGGAAAGGCCUUUCCUUUGGAAGGAGCUUGUAAAGAUUAAAAUUUAGGAAUAAGGGGAGACUGAGGCAGGUAGAAAUUAGUUUCUCUCUGCAAGAAGUAUUAUAUUUUUUGAGGUUUAUUAAAAGUUAAGGAUUAAAGAAAAUAUAGGAUAAGAAAACACGUAUCCAGGCCACAGAGAGGCCUAGACACAGCCUCACCUACAUUAUGGAAAGAGCCACAUCUGCCCCAAACGGAAGUCCAAGAGAAGACCCCAAAAACCUUUUCCACCGGUUGCCAAACUGUAACAGUUAAAAUUUAGGGGAGACGGGGAGACUGAGGCAGGUAGAAAUUAGUUUCUCUCUGCAAGGAGUAUUAUAUUUUUUAGAGGUUUAUUAAAGGCUAAAGAUUAAAGAAAAUACAGAAUAAGAAAAAACACGUGCCUAGGCCAGAUAACCUCCCAUCACAGAAGAGACGCAUCUGCUCCAAAAUGGAAGUCCAAAAGAAGAGAGCCUCAAAAGCCUUUGAAUCAGCUUAAAUACCUUCUCCAUCUUGGCCCAGGUGAGAUUACAAGGCAUUCUGGGGAAGUGGAGCAAAGGCUUGUGGGGAUUGUAGUCCUGUAUUCGAGUCUAUUUUUUACAAGCUACUUUCACCACUACAUGAGAUCUGAUGCUGUAACGGGAAUUGAUGGCUCUUGGUUGAAAGAAUCAGACACGCCUCUGAGCCUGAACAUAUCAGAGUGAGCCCAGGUGAAAUCAAGCCAGCCCCUUAGGAGGAUUCUGGAAACCAGUGAGUCUGCUGGUGGGCAAGGGCCCUGCCUUGGGCCAUCAGGAGAUGCCAGGUUCCAGUUCUCGCUCCCUCCUGCCCCAUUGUCCAGGUGAUGAUCUUAUAAACUCCUUGUUACAUCAAAAUCACAAGAAGCAGGACAGGGGGCGAUGCCAGAUGAGGCUUGAGAGAGGUUGGAACCAGCCUGGGCAGGGCUUUACACACUGAACCGAGGAGGUCAUCUUCUGAUCUGCAAGCAUUAAGGAACUACUCGAAUAGCGUGGUGACUCUGUCUGAUCUGCAUUUAAGGAAAAUUCCUUUGGCAGCAGCAGAAUGUAGGAUGGACAAGAGAGACAGACCCAUUAAGGGGAUGCUGAAAUGAUCUCCAUGAAAGCUUCGGGGGCAGCUGAGUCAGUGGAGAGUUAGGAGGAAGUUCAGGAGGUGUGAAAGUACAGAUGAUAAGAUUUGGCAAACAACUGCAUCUUCCACUAUAUAUUUGGUGUCCCCAAAGUCUUAGUGCCACUUAAAAUGCUUCUAUACAUUUUCACUGCUAUUAUAGCUUGCAACGGGCCCAAGACUUUGGGGACACCAAAUGUGGAAUGAGCCGGACAGAAUUCCAAUGUAAUGCAGACCUGGACAGAACUAGAGACAGCUGGAAAAGGGGAACAUCUGGAAAGGAAGAGGAUGAUGCUGUUUUGUCCAUGUUGAGUUGAAGGUGUCUUUGGGGCAUCCAGUUUGAAAUGUCCAAAAGACUAUUGGAGGUGCCCAGCUGAAGACUGGGGGGAGAGACUGGCAGAAUCAUCUCCACAGAGAAUAUAACCAAACUCACAGGGCUCCAUCAGUGUUGUAGGGUUGAGUGCCGGUGGGGGUGGGGAAGAAAGAUUAGGACAGAACUCUGGAGAACAUCCACAAAAUAAUGAUCCAACAAGGGACCAAGAGAAGGAGGGAACAGAUCAGCUAGGGAGAGCAAGAACCAGGAAAAAACAGUGCCAUGAAAACCCAGAAAGGAGAGACUAUAUGGGAGGAGACACUGACUGGGCUUAGAGAGAUGCAGGAAAUCAGGCAGGAAGGACUUUGAAUUUUAAACUUGUUUAGACUCAUUUGCACAACAAAAAAUCACAUUGGGUCCCCACAGGAUGUUUUUAAGAAAAUAAGACUAUGAAUACAAGGCGAAUGUAAUAAGUCCGGUUCAAUUUGGCAAUUAAACACUCCAAAAGCACACAA